rnacentral:rRNA from 1 species
AACGAACGCUGGCGGCGUGCCUAACACAUGCAAGUCGAACGUGAUUGGGGAGCUUGCUCCUCAUGAAAGUGGCGCACGGGUGAGUAACGCGUAGAUAAUCUACCUGAUGAUUCGGGAUAACACUUCGAAAGGGGUGCUAAUACGGGAUAAGCCCACGGAGUCUUUGGACACUGCGGGAAAAGGAGGGGACCUUCGGGCCUUCCGUCAUCAGAUGAGUCUGCGUACCAUUAGCUAGUUGGUAGGGUAAGGGCCUACCAAGGCGACGAUGGUUAGCUGGUCUGAGAGGAUGAUCAGCCACACUGAAACUGAGACACGGUCCAGACUCCUACGGGAGGCAGCAGUGGGGAAUUUUGCGCAAUGGGGGAAACCCUGACGCAGCAACGCCGCGUGAGUGAUGAAGGCCCUUGGGUCGUAAAGCUCUGACAGAGGGAAAGAAAUGUGGGUGGCUAAUAUCCAUUCCACUUGACGGUACCCUCAAAGGAAGCACCGGCUAACUCCGUGCCAGCAGCCGCGGUAACAC